GAUGAAGAACGUAUUGAAAUGCGAUAAGUAAUGUGAAUUGCAGAAUUCCGUGAAUCAUCGAAUCUUUGAACGCACAUUGCGCCCCCUGGUAUUCCGGGGGGCAUGCCUGUUCGAGCGUCAUUUCACCACUCAAGCCUCGCUUGGUAUUGGGCAACGCGGUCCGCCGCGUGCCUCAAAUCGACCGGCUGGGUCUUCUGUCCCCUAAGCGUUGUGGAAACUAUUCGCUAAAGGGUGUUCGGGAGGCUACGCCGUAAAACAACCCCAUUUCUAAGGUUGACCUCGGAUCAGGUAGGGAUACCCGCUGAACUUAAGCAUAUCAAUAAGCGGAGGA
rnacentral:misc_RNA from 1 species